GACGAACGCUGGCGGCGCGCUUAACACAUGCAAGUCGAGCGAGAACCCUCCUUCGGGAGGGGGACAGCGGCGAACGGGUGAGUAACACGUGGGUAAUCUGCCCUCGGUUCUGGGAUAGCCCGGGGAAACCCGGAUUAAUACCGGAUAGCCUCUCGAGCUCUCGGGCUCGUGAGAAAAGGUAGCUUCGGCCUCCGAUCGAGGAGGAGCCCGCGGCGGAUUAGCUUGUUGGUGGGGUAACGGCCCACCAAGGCGACGAUCCGUAGCUGGUCUGAGAGGACGAUCAGCCACACUGGGACUGAGACACGGCCCAGACUCCUACGGGGGGCAGCAGUGGGGAAUCUUGCGCAAUGGGCGAAAGCCUGACGCAGCGACGCCGCGUGAGGGAAGAAGGCCUUCGGUUGUAA
rnacentral:rRNA from 1 species